AACGAACGCUGGCGGCAGGCUUAACACAUGCAAGUCGAGCGCCCCUCCUUCAAGCAAGCUUGAAGGUUUUGUUUUUCGCCGUGAGGCGAAGAAAGAGUUCAAGAAAGCCUCGGCUUUCUUGAUGGAGGGGAGCGGCAGACGGGUGAGUAACGCGUGGGAAUCUACCUUUUGCUACGGAAUAACUCAGGGAAACUUGUGCUAAUACCGUAUGUGCCCUUUUGGGGAAAGAUUUAUCGGCAAAGGAUGAGCCCGCGUUGGAUUAGGUAGUUGGUGGGGUAAUGGCCUACCAAGCCGACGAUCCAUAGCUGGUCUGAGAGGAUGAUCAGCCACAUUGGGACUGAGACACGGCCCAAACUCCUACGGGAGGCAGCAGUGGGGAAUAUUGGACAAUGGGCGCAAGCCUGAUCCAGCCAUGCCGCGUGAGUGAUGAAGGCCCUAGGGUUGUAAAGCUCUUUCACCGGUGAAGAUAAUGACGGUAACCGGAGAAGAAGCCCCGGCUAACUUCGUGCCAGCAGCCGCGGUAAUAC
rnacentral:rRNA from 1 species